CCUACGGGAGGCAGCAGUGGGGGAUAUUGCACAAUGGGGGCAACGCUGAUGCAGCGACGCCGCGUGAGCGAUGGAGUACUUCAGUAUGUAAAGCUCUGUCAGCAGGGAAGAGAAUGACGGUACCUGACCAAGAAGCACCGGCUAAAUACGUGCCAGCAGCCGCGGUAAUACGUAAGGGGCAAGCGUUAUCCGGAUUUACUGGGUGUAAAGGGAGCGUAUGCGGCAGGGAAAGCCUGAUGUGAAAGCCCGGGGGUCAACCCCGGGCCUGCUUUGGAAACUGGCGAACUAGAGUGGGGGAGGGGUAAGCGGAAUUCGCAGUGUAGCGGUGAAAUGCGUAGAUAUUAGGAGGAACACCGGUGGCGAAGGCGGCUUACUGGCCCCUAACUGACGUUGAGGCACGAAAGCGUGGGGAGCAAACAGGAUUAGAUACCCCUGUAGUC
rnacentral:rRNA from 1 species